rnacentral:rRNA from 1 species
AAUCAACGCUGGCGGCGUGCCUCAGACAUGCAAGUCGAACGCGAAAGUUUCCUUCGGGAGAUGAGUAGAGUGGCGCACGGGUGAGUAACACGUGAGUAAUUUACCUCGGGUGGGGAAUACUAACCGGAAACGGUUGUUAAUACCGCAUAAUGCAGCGGCAUCAAUGAAUGACAGUUGUUAAAGCGGGGGAGUUGGAGGCAAUCCGACCUCGCGCCUGAAGAGAAGCCGCGGCAGAUUAGCUAGUUGGUAAGGUAAUGGCUUACCAAGGCGACGAUCGUGUAACCGGCCUGAGAGGGCGGUCGGUCACACUGACACUGAAUAACGGGUCAGACUCCUACGGGAGGCAGCAGUCGGGAAUUUUGGGCAA